GCAGCGUUGUCACGAUAACGUCUACCUGAGCUCCGCCCCUGUGACGUCUGUUCUUCCCCCCCAGGUGACGCUGUGGAAGGAGUCGAUGGAUGGCCAGUGGGCGUGUAUCAGUGACGUCAGCAAGGGGCAGGGCGCCGUGUCGGCCAUCACGGACACACAGCAGAACGAGCAGUGACCCUCGGGGGAUGAGGUCAUCGCGCAGUGACUCUCGGGGGAUGAGGUCAUCGCGCAGUGACCCUCGGGAUCCUCGUUGGUGUGACGAUGACAUCACGAGCUCUGUUCAGAUCAUCGUUUUGUGGAGGAAAGAAACCGUCAGACGUGACAACGUUAAUCAACACAAACUUUGUUCCAGUCGGACGAGUCUCCCUGUGUGCGUCAUCUCCCAUGAUGCAUUGCUCCUGACACAUUCCGAAGCCAUUCAGGGUCAAGUCCUCAACUCCAGAAAGUACAUUGAAUAAGUCAUUAAUGAUUGAUUGAGUAAACUAUUGACUCCCACUAUUCUCACCACAGAACCUGCUUUCAUAAUAGUAAUUCUUAUUUGAUUUGUAAUUAAAUACAUGUUUAAACUAAA